CCCACCUGCAGUAUGCAUUCAAGGUGGCUGUGCCAAAGAUUCUCCCUUACUGUCCUUAUGCCUCUGCUUGGGCAGAUGCAACGGGUGUAACGCUGCAGGAUUAGGUUGAGCCGCAUCCUCUUGUGGGCUGAGGAGUCUAGCUCUCAGCGCCGCCAGCAUGGCAAAAUUUGGUUACUAUUUAUAUUUUACGGCCGUUCUGUUUGAAUGGUUUUUCUGCCAUGAUGCCAGUGAUGUAUUCAAUAAAUGCAGCCAGCGAUGGCUUUACCUCCCAACAUGGUGUCUUUGUUAUUUAUUUCAAGGGGAACGUUGGGUUAGAGAGGGUUUUAUAAGGUUAGUUAUUUGGCUAAAAUUAAGGGACAUAGGAGAUUACCCAUUAUGCAGCUUGGCAAUGUUUUCAUUGCAGGGUUUAAGUACCACUCAAACAGCCACUAGCUGCACUUCAGCUGAGAUUAUAGUGCUUGAUGAUCUCAGCCAAGGAAGAUGGAUGGCAGUGCGGAUACCAUGCAACGAGGGAGAAAAGGUAAGUAAAAUGGCUUUACACCCUGUUCCAAAUUAUUAUGCAAAUUAUAU